GACGAACGCUGGCGGCGUGCUUAACACAUGCAAGUCGAGCGGUAAGGCCCUUUCGGGGGUACACGAGCGGCGAACGGGUGAGUAACACGUGGGUGACCUGCCCUCAGCUCUGGGAUAAGCCUGGGAAACUGGGUCUAAUACCGGAUAUGACUCCAUGACGCAUGUUGUGGGGUGGAAAGCCUUGUGCGGCUGAGGAUGGGCCCGCGGCCUAUCAGCUUGUUGGUGGGGUGANGGCCUACCAAGGCGACGACGGGUAGCCGGCCUAAGAGGGCGACCGGCCACACUGGGACUGAGACACGGCCCAGACUCCUACGGGAGGCAGCAGUGGGGAAUCUUGCGCAAUGGGCGAAAGCCUGACGCAGCGACGCCGCGUGAGGGAUGACGGCCU
rnacentral:rRNA from 1 species